CUCUCUCUCUCUUUUCUCGCUUCUUUUUUUUUUUUUGCCUUUUCCCCUUUUGUUUUUGUUGUGCUUCCUCUACUUGGAAAAACAGAGCUGGUGGAAGAUUUUUGGGCCGACCACCCCGUCCCUCGCACAGAUGAUCCCCCAACGGCGGUGGCGACCCGUCCCCACCCGGAUAGCCGUACCGACGCUCGACAGCCUGAUCGUUGUACUUUCGGUGACGGUGGCCGACUUGCAGGAAGAAAAAAAGAGAAGAAAUUGGGGAUGGCCCUGUUCCACACCAAUCCAGCAUAUCACUGGCCUAAAUCCCAGCGACCCCGUUACCGACCAGAAGAAAAGAAAAAGAAGAAAAUGGUGGCGUUUUUCUUGGCGUCAAUUUCUUUUCUUCUUUCGUUUCCUUUGAAGAGGAUGUGCUUCAGCCUUCAGCCCUAAUGAUCGCUUGAACGAUCAGCAUGGCAAGAAGGUCGCACCCAAGAAAUAGCCCAAGAAGCUAAAAGGCGACCAGAAAACCAAAGAGAUCCUUGCUCCUUCUCCGGCCGCCGAACCACGAGAGAAAGAGCCUGACUGCGAUACAGGAUGCUUGGGUCGAGGAAGGGACAUCCGGUGUAGGUGUGGAAGGGAACUUUUGGCCAGCACUUUUGGGGUCUGGAGUUGUGGAAGAUCGCCUGGCUGGUUUCCUUGGCAUUCGAUAUCCUUGCACCGAAAGAGAAGCAGGGGAUUAUCGUAGCCAGCCCCUUCCUUGUAUACCUUGUGCCAGCCAAAAAAAUAGAUGUUCAGGUCCACUCUUUCUGGUACUCUUUAUGAAUUUACCCAUCCCAUCUUUUCUUAUCUGGAACUAAGGGUCAAGGAUAUAAGAUACUGCAUUGUAACUUGAACCGUUCUCUGGCAUAAUUCAAGUUCGAACGAAUGCCCGCUUUCCAUGUACUAUUUUGUCAUGGUGCACUUGUGCGAUAGUCUUCUCGAUGUUAUGACUGUCUGAAGUGUGUCACUUGUAUCCAUGCUUAGAUCACUGUGUGAACCAAGACUCUUGGAAUCCAGAGUAAGCUUGCACCCUGGUGCAUCUAUAGAUCACCAGGUUCCUGGGUAGUCAAUGUGCAUUCAUGUUUUCAAUUUGCACAUUUCUGUACAUCAUCAUUAGAGGAGAAGUUGUAUAAGGCGUGCUCGGUGGCAAGUAAAUCGGACCUGAAAAGGUUUUGCCAAGACUUGUUGGUUCUGAUUAUGGUUACUUUCAAAAAAAUACCUUCGCCAAUUGCCAGCUAUCGAAGCCAUCAUCUGAAUCAAGUAUUUUUAGUUUAUUUGCAUGCCUACUCUUAAAACUCUUGGGAUGAUAUUCUAUGUUUGCUGAUUGUAUCGAUCUUUGUCUGAAUGAAACCAGCAUGGAGGUGGGGCUUAUGCUUUGUGAUUGCCAGCUUGUCCCAUGAGCACUAUAGAUUUGUACCUAUGGAGGAAUUUCUACAUAUGGAUCACUUGAUAACAUUUUCGAAUUAUUGAUCAUAUUAAUUCUUGAUGCACAUUUAGAUUGUUCCUCGCUUAUAUUGCCAUAUAACAUGUGGUAUAACAGUUGAAACUAUGGAUGCUUUUUGACUUUACUCUACACAGUUCCUGAUGUCUGUUUAACGUUUUUGAUUUUCCAGGCCAUAUAAAUUCUUUCUCAAGCACUCAGUAACCAAACAUCCCCUUGUGUUAAGGUCCUACAAAUACUGGGGAACAGCUAGCAAGACUCAGAUGUUAAUUUCUUGGUGCUGGAGGUUAUGCAUUUUCUAAUGACUCUGCAAGCUAGUGUUUUAUUAUAGCUGGCAGAUGACACACUGGCUGGGCUCUAUUUUUUUGGACGGUACUCUGAGUACGGUUAAAUGAGGCAGGGUCAGGCUUAGGGUCAAACAUCUGGUGAUCUUCUACACGGCUUCCUUCUUUCUUCUGAUGUUGGAUUGCAUACUGUUGGAAUAAUGAUGCUCCUUUUGCUCAACCUCGGAUAAAUGUACUUGAGCAGUACGGUCAGAUGGUGCCUAAUGUCUAGAGAAGUUUUGAUUCUUCACAGUCUAGCUAUUGAGAGGGUGUUUGUGGAGAUGUAAACAACACAACAUAUCUUAUACCCAGUGCUGGGGUAAACAAGGUACUCUGCAAGGUGGAGCUUGGGAUGCUGUCCAAGAAUUUCUGAUGUUGCUGAACAUCGUGACUCUGCGGACGAGUGGCUCUUUGCUACGAUUUCCCGAGCUUUUCAGACCUGGUAGUAGAAAUGCUCGCUGAAGUGCUUGCUGAUGCAGAGGAUGCUGAAACGGGCGGAAUGCCAUACAGGACCUUGUGCAUCCGGACCUGAGAAAGACAAGAUGGCAGAACAAUGGAUAUUGAAGGCUUUGGUAAUAUGCCCACCCAAGAUCCAUUAGGAAUGCGAGACAAAUGUGCCGACAUAACCAAAACCAACAAUGAAGAAAGCAAUUGCUUGGAGGAAGAGGUAUAUGAAGUAAUGGUUCUUUCCAAAUGCCACGUCAUAACACCCACAGAAGAAGAGAUAGGCCCCAACACCAAGCUCCAACAGAUGCAAUCUGAUUUUAAUAAAGAAUAACAGAUGAGCACAUUAAGAUGAUUGAGAUGAAGGCAGUUGAAAUUGAUCAUUCUGCAUGCAAUUCCACUACUGACCCUUUAUAUGAAACCUUAGCUUAUAUUAUCUUUCCUAUGAAAAUGGACUUUUGAUGGAA